GACGAACGCUGGCGGCGUGCUUAACACAUGCAAGUCGAACGGAAAGGCCCUGCUUUUGUGGGGUGCUCGAAUUGCGAACCGGUGAGUAACACGGGAGUAACCUUCCCUUUACUUUGUGAUAACUUCAGGGAACUGGGGCUAAUAACGGGUAGGAGCUCCUGCUCCAUGGGGGGGGUUGGAAAGUUUCGGCGGUUGGGGAUGGACUCGCGGCUUAUCAGCUUGUUGGUGGGGUAGUGGCUUACCACGGCUUUGACGGGUAGCCGGCCUGAGAGGGUGACCGGCCACAUUGGGACUGAGAUACGGGCCAGAAUCCUACGGGAGGCAGCAGUGGGGAAUAUUGCACAAUGGGCGGAAGUCUGAUGCAGCAGCGCCGUGUGCGGGAUGACGGCCUUCGGGUUGUAAACCGCUUUCGCCUGUGACGAAGCGUGAGUGACGGUAACGGGUAAAGAAGCACCGGCUAACUACGUG
rnacentral:rRNA from 1 species